CUCCUUUAAUAUACUUACUGCAUUAUAAAUAAUAAUAUUAUAGUGUUCAUUUAUAGCAUGGAUGGGCAACUAGCAGCCCGUGUACCAUUUUUCACUGGGCCGUGCUACGUUUUACAAUUAAUUAUUAAAAUUAAAGAAAAGUUUAAUUUUACUAAGAGAUAGUGAAAGUAAAAUUGGCCUAUAGAUACUACAAAUGUUUUAGAGAGACGUACCAAUUUACUGAUCCGGAUUUUACUGACCAGACUUAACUGCCCCGACCUGGGCUCCUCGUUCUCCUGGGCUGAAAAUUGGAACAACCAUCCAUAGGUACACGGUUGACCUUAUAACCAAAAAUCAACUUUCCAAUGCCAUGGAGGCCUAUGCGUUUACAAUUUACAAUGAGAUAAUAGGUAAUACAUUAAUAAUAAUACAAUUAACAUUUG